UAGGGAAUCUUCCGCAAUGGACGAAAGUCUGACGGAGCAACGCCGCGUGAGUGAAGAAGGUUUUCGGAUCGUAAAACUCUGUUGUCAGAGAAGAACAAGUUGGAGAGUAACUGCUCCAGCCUUGACGGUAUCUGACCACGAAAGCCACGGCUAACUACGUG
rnacentral:rRNA from 1 species